rnacentral:rRNA from 1 species
GUGGGGAAUAUUGCACAAUGGGCGCAAGCCUGAUGCAGCAACGCCGCGUGAGGGAUGACGGCCUUGGGGUUGUAAACCUCUUUUAGUAGGGAAGAAGCGAAAGUGACGGUACCUGCAGAAAAAGCACCGGCUAACUACGUGCCAGCAGCCGCGGUAAUACGUAGGGUGCAAGCGUUGUCCGGAAUUAUUGGGCGUAAAGAGCUCGUAGGCGGCUUGUCGCGUCUGCUGUGAAAUCCCGGGGCUCAACCCCGGGCCUGCAGUGGGUACGGGCAGGCUAGAGUGCGGUAGGGGAGAUUGGAAUUCCUGGUGUAGCGGUGGAAUGCGCAGAUAUCAGGAGGAACACCGAUGGCGAAGGCAGAUCUCUGGGCCGCUACUGACGCUGAGGAGCGAAAGCAUGGGGAGCGAACAGGAUUAGAAACCCGUGUAGUCC